UACCCGCUGAGUUUAAGCAUAUCAAUAAGCGGAGGAAAAGAAACUAACAAGGGAUUCCCCUAGUAACGGCGAG
rnacentral:rRNA from 1 species